rnacentral:misc_RNA from 1 species
UUUCCGUAGGUGAACCUGCGGAAGGAUCAUUAAAGAGAAUAUGCCCUUCGGGGUAGAUCUCCCACCCUUUGUUUAUAUUACCUUUGUUGCUUUGGCAGGCCCGUCUUCGGACCACCGGCUUCGGCUGGUCAGCGCUUGCCAGAGGACCCAAAACUCUUAUUAUUAAUGUCGUCUGAGUACUAUAUAAUAGUUAAAACUUUCAACAACGGAUCUCUUGGUUCUG